AACCCAUAAUGGGGGCAAAGUUUGAACAUAUUCUUGAAUCUAUCCCAAGCUUCAUAUAGAGAUUCUAAGUCAGCUUGUCUAAAACUAGAAAUCAAAUUAUGCAUGUGUGU